rnacentral:tRNA from 1 species
UCGAUUUAAAAAAUUGUGAGGGUUCAAGUCCC